rnacentral:lncRNA from 1 species
CAAGGGUAAAGGACUUGUUUAUCCUCCAUCUCUUCUCUACUCUUCAUUCAGGCUCUGGAGGACAUACCUACUUGAUCUUUCAGGUAAAUUUUAACACAUCAAGAAAGGAAGAAUGAAAGAAUGAGAGAAGGAGAGAAAGAAAGAAAGAGAGAGAAAGGAAGGAAGGAAAGGAAAGAAAGAAAGAAAGAGAAAAGAAAAGAAAGAAAGAAAUUGCCAUGUUUGAGUGUGAAUGUAUACAUAAGCAACUUGUAUAUGGAUAGUUUUUCCAACAUAAAGGAAAGAAAGAAAGAAAGAGAAAAGAAAAGAAAGAAAGAAAUUGCCAUGUUUGAGUGUGAAUGUAUACAUAAGCAACUCGUAUAUGGAUAGUUUUUCCAACAUAAAGGAUCUUUAUUUAAACUCAUCCUCCUUUUAAAAUGUGUAUUUAAAGUAUUCUUUCUUGUUUAUUGUUUAGCAAUUUGGCUAUUAAUCCUUUUUAAAAAACAGUUUGCUAGUGUUUUCCAUCUAAAAUACGUUACAAGAUAUGGGGCUUCAAACCUUCAGGUUCAGCUUUUCUUCCUUUUCAUGUUUGGAUUGGGUUUGGGUCAACUCUGGGUCAAAAAGAUAUUAGGUUACUCUUUUCAGAUGUGUUCACAUCCAUAUAUCAAGAACAUACUAAAAUUGAGGUGGCUUCUGUUGGCUGCCCUCUCAAACCAGUUGACCUUUUGAGAUGUUUUUUUCCAGUUGUGGUUUACUCUUUGCACUGUGUCUAUACAGUUUAUGUUGAAAGCAGUACAGCAAAUCAUUUGUUAAAACCUCAAAGCGCUAUGCAUACUUCAGUUUCUUUCCUUUCUUCCUUAGACCAGAUAACUAAACAUUCCAAAGAUUUUUGUCAUAAUAUAGUAGUAUUGUGUUAGAAAGGACAACAUGCUGGGAAUCAAUCCACUCUGUAAGUACUGGAUCUCUAACUUGGAGUUGUGAAACUUUGGGUAAAUCACUGAACCUCUCUAAUGAAGACAGUAGUGUGUACAUCACAGCACCUGGAGAACUAAUGAUAUAGGACUUUGGAAGAUUAAUUUAUAAGCUGCUAAUUAAUAUAAGCAUACAUUAUAUUUUUCUUUAUUUUCUAAUUAUAUGGCACUUGAUUUGUGAUCCAAUACCUCUCAAUUCUCA